UCGAUCCUACGGGAGGCAGCAGUGAGGAAUAUUGGUCAAUGGGCGCGAGCCUGAACCAGCCAAGUCGCGUGAGGGAAGACGGUCCUAUGGAUUGUAAACCUCUUUUGUCGGGGAGCAAAAGACGCCAAGCGUGGCGUUCCGAGAGUACCCGAAGAAAAAGCAUCGGCUAACUCCGUGCCAGCAGCCGCGGUAAUACGGAGGAUGCGAGCGUUAUCCGGAUUUAUUGGGUUUAAAGGGUGCGCAGGCGGAAGAUCAAGUCAGCGGUAAAAUUAAGAGGCUCAAC
rnacentral:rRNA from 1 species